rnacentral:rRNA from 1 species
AACGAACGCUGGCGGCAGGCCUAACACAUGCAAGUCGAGCGCGCCCUUCGGGGUGAGCGGCGGACGGGUGAGUAACGCGUGGGAACGUGCCCUUUUCUACGGAAUAGCCUCGGGAAACUGAGAGUAAUACCGUAUACGCCCUUUGGGGGAAAGAUUUAUCGGAAAAGGAUCGGCCCGCGUUGGAUUAGGUAGUUGGUGGGGUAAUGGCCUACCAAGCCGACGAUCCAUAGCUGGGUUGAGAGGAUGAUCAGCCACACUGGGACUGAGACACGGCCCAGACUCCUACGGGAGGCAGCAGUGGGGAAUCUUAGACAAUGGGGGCAACCCUGAUCUAGCCAUGCCGCGUGAGUGAUGAAGGCCUUAGGGUUGUAAAGCUCUUUCAGCUGGGAAGAUAAUGACGGUACCAGCAGAAGAAGCCCCGGCUAACUCCGUG